rnacentral:rRNA from 1 species
CUACGGGUCGCAGCAGUGAGGAAUAUUGCACAAUGGGGGGAACCCUGAUGCAGCAACGCCGCGUGGAGGAUGACGCAUUUCGGUGUGUAAACUCCUUUUAUAUGUCAAGAAAAUGACGGUAGCAUAUGAAUAAGCACCGGCUAACUCCGUGCCAGCAGCCGCGGUAAUACGGAGGGUGCAAGCGUUACUCGGAAUCACUGGGCGUAAAGGACGCGUAGGCGGGUUGGAAAGUCAGGUGUGAAAUCCUACAGCUUAACUGUAGAACUGCACUUGAAACUUCUAAGAUAGAGUAUGGGAGGGGGAGAUGGAAUUAGUGGUGUAGGGGUAAAAUCCGUAGAUAUCACUAGGAAUACCUAAAGCGAAGGCGAUCUCCUGGAACAUUACUGACGCUAAGGCGUGAAAGCGUGGGGAGCAAACAGGAUUAGAUACCCUAGUAGUC